rnacentral:tRNA from 1 species
AGGGUAUUAGUCCAAAAAAGACCUCUGAUUUCGGCUCAGAUAAUUAUGGUUAAAGUCCAUAAUUCCCUU